CGGACNCUGGGGAAAGGCCCUCCAGGAGUCAUGAGGGACUGUCUUGAAGGGUGAUGUUGAGCCAAGGGUACAGGCUUGAUGCCUGCCUUCACACAAGUUGACAAAGUUGGCUGCUCCUAUGGGAAGCAGGAUACAGNCUUCUAGACUUUCGUGUGGUGUAAAAA
rnacentral:misc_RNA from 1 species